UUUGGUUAAGUUAGAAAAGGGCGCACGGUGGAUGCCUUGACACUAGGAGUCGAUGAAGGACGGGACUAACGCCGAUAUGCUUCGGGGAGCUGUAAGUAAGCUUUGAUCCGAAGAUUUCCGAAUGGGGAAACCCACCAUACGUAAUGGUAUGGUAUCCUUAUCUGAAUACAUAGGGUAAGGAAGACAGACCCAGGGAACUGAAACAUCUAAGUACCUGGAGGAAGAGAAAGCAAAUGCGAUUUCCUGAGUAGCGGCGAGCGAAACGGAACAUAGCCCAAACCAAGAGGCUUGCCUCUUGGGGUUGUAGGACAUUCUAUACGGAGUUACAAAGGAACGAGGUAGACGAAGCGACCUGGAAAGGUCCGUCGUAGAGGGUAACAACCCCGUAGUCGAAACUUCGUUCUCUCUUGAAUGUAUCCUGAGUACGGCGGAACACGUGAAAUUCCGUCGGAAUCUGGGAGGACCAUCUCCCAAGGCUAAAUACUCCCUAGUGAUCGAUAGUGAACCAGUACCGUGAGGGAAAGGUGAAAAGCACCCCGGAAGGGGAGUGAAAGAGAUCCUGAAACCGUGUGCCUACAAAUAGUCAGAGCCCGUUAACGGGUGAUGGCGUGCCUUUUGUAGAAUGAACCGGCGAGUUACGAUCCCGUGCGAGGUUAAGCUGAAGAGGCGGAGCCGCAGCGAAAGCGAGUCUGAAUAGGGCGUUUAGUACGUGGUCGUAGACCCGAAACCAGGUGAUCUACCCAUGUCCAGGGUGAAGUUCAGGUAACACUGAAUGGAGGCCCGAACCCACGCACGUUGAAAAGUGCGGGGAUGAGGUGUGGGUAGCGGAGAAAUUCCAAUCGAACCUGGAGAUAGCUGGUUCUCCCCGAAAUAGCUUUAGGGCUAGCCUUAAGUGUAAGAGUCUUGGAGGUAGAGCACUGAUUGGACUAGGGGUCCUCAUCGGAUUACCGAAUUCAGUCAAACUCCGAAUGCCAAUGACUUAUCCUUAGGAGUCAGACUGCGAGUGAUAAGAUCCGUAGUCAAAAGGGAAACAGCCCAGACCGCCAGCUAAGGUCCCAAAGUGUGUAUUAAGUGGAAAAGGAUGUGGAGUUGCUUAGACAACUAGGAUGUUGGCUUAGAAGCAGCCACCAUUUAAAGAGUGCGUAAUAGCUCACUAGUCGAGUGACUCUGCGCCGAAAAUGUACCGGGGCUAAAUACACCACCGAAGCUGCGGAUUGAUACCAAUGGUAUCAGUGGUAGGGGAGCGUUCUAAGGACAGUGAAGUCAGACCGGAAGGACUGGUGGAGUGCUUAGAAGUGAGAAUGCCGGUAUGAGUAGCGAAAGACGGGUGAGAAUCCCGUCCACCGAAUGCCUAAGGUUUCCUGAGGAAGGCUCGUCCGCUCAGGGUUAGUCAGGACCUAAGCCGAGGCCGACAGGCGUAGGCGAUGGACAACAGGUUGAUAUUCCUGUACCACCUCUUUAUCGUUUGAGCAAUGGAGGGACGCAGAAGGAUAGAAGAAGCGUGCGAUUGGUUGUGCACGUCCAAGCAGUUAGGCUGAUAAGUAGGCAAAUCCGCUUAUCGUAAAGGCUGAGCUGUGAUGGGGAAGCUCCUUAUGGAGCGAAGUCUUUGAUUCCCCGCUGCCAAGAAAAGCUUCUAGCGAGAUAAAAGGUGCCUGUACCGCAAACCGACACAGGUAGGCGAGGAGAGAAUCCUAAGGUGUGCGAGAGAACUCUGGUUAAGGAACUCGGCAAAAUGACCCCGUAACUUCGGAGAGAAGGGGUGCUUUCUUAACGGAAAGCCGCAGUGAAUAGGCCCAAGCGACUGUUUAGCAAAAACACAGCUCUCUGCGAAGCCGUAAGGCGAAGUAUAGGGGGUGACACCUGCCCGGUGCUGGAAGGUUAAGGAGAGGGGUUAGCGUAAGCGAAGCUCUGAACUGAAGCCCCAGUAAACGGCGGCCGUAACUAUAACGGUCCUAAGGUAGCGAAAUUCCUUGUCGGGUAAGUUCCGACCCGCACGAAAGGUGUAACGAUUUGGGCACUGUCUCAACCAGAGACUCGGUGAAAUUUAUAGUACCUGUGAAGAUGCAGGUUACCCGCGACAGGACGGAAAGACCCCGUGGAGCUUUACUGUAGCCUGAUAUUGAAUUUUGGUACAGUUUGUACAGGAUAGGCGGGAGCCUUUUGAAACCGGAGCGCUAGCUUCGGUGGAGGCGCUGGUGGGAUACCGCCCUGACUGUAUUGAAAUUCUAACCUACGGGUCUUAUCGACCCGGGAGACAGUGUCAGGUGGGCAGUUUGACUGGGGCGGUCGCCUCCUAAAGUGUAACGGAGGCGCCCAAAAGGUUCCCUCAGAAUGGUUGGAAAUCAUUCGUAGAGUGCAAAGGCAUAAGGGAGCUUGACUGCGAGACCUACAAGUCGAGCAGGGACGAAAGUCGGGCUUAGUGAUCCGGUGGUUCCGCAUGGAAGGGCCAUCGCUCAACGGAUAAAAGCUACCCCGGGGAUAACAGGCUUAUCUCCCCCAAGAGUCCACAUCGACGGGGAGGUUUGGCACCUCGAUGUCGGCUCAUCGCAUCCUGGGGCUGUAGUCGGUCCCAAGGGUUGGGCUGUUCGCCCAUUAAAGCGGUACGCGAGCUGGGUUCAGAACGUCGUGAGACAGUUCGGUCCCUAUCCGUCGUGGGCGUAGGAAAUUUGAGAGGAGCUGUCCUUAGUACGAGAGGACCGGGAUGGACGCACCGCUGGUGUACCAGUUGUUCUGCCAAGGGCAUAGCUGGGUAGCUAUGUGCGGAAGGGAUAAGUGCUGAAAGCAUCUAAGCAUGAAGCCCCCCUCAAGAUGAGAUUUCCCAUAGCGUAAGCUAGUAAGAUCCCUGAAAGAUGAUCAGGUUGAUAGGUUCGAGGUGGAAGCAUGGUGACAUGUGGAGCUGACGAAUACUAAUAGAUCGAGGACUUAACCAUAUA
rnacentral:rRNA from 1 species